AUUUUUAUCAACAUUUUCUGUAUUUCAUUUUUUCUAUUUCAUCUUCAUAUUCCCAUUUACCCAGGUGACAUUGAGGACGAUGAAGAUUUAGGGAAGCCAAGGCGUCCUGAAAUUGUAAAUUCUGACAUUCCUAAAGCAAGUCCUGGAUCAGAUAAAUCCACAGGAGACACUGAAGCUAAUGAAGGUGCAACAUUGAUAAUCAUCAUAGCUGCCGUUAGUGCCAUAGUUCUGCUCAUCGGAGUUAUUGUAGCUAUUGUCCUCUACAGACGCUACUUGCAAAGCCGAGAACUGGGGGUCUACUCUGUGCCAGCAGAGCAAGGACAGAAAGCUGCUGUCUAACCAUCAGGGCCUUUUCAUUUCCUCUCUCCACUGGAUCCUUUCAGGGACGUGCUGCAAGCAUGUGAUUUCUCAUCUGAACGUAUCUCUAUAUAGUGGAUUCUAUAACGUCAAUAGACGAGAAUGUGUUGCUAUCACAAAUUUCUUAUGAACUCUUUUUAAAUGCAUGAUGUAUACUGUUCAUGCACACAUGCCGUAUGUUGCAAUCACAGAGAAAGUGCUUGGACUGUGUAGUACAGCCCACUGGAACUUUUCCCUCUCUGCCUGCAAUUAUUUUUUAUUUAAAUCAAGUUCAGACCCUUUAUAAACUCGGCUUGAAGUGUAAUUUUUUCAAUCUUUAGAUAUUCUCCUCGAAUGUAAGCCAUUCAUAGUCAUCAAAAAUAUAAACAAAUGACAUGAGUUCGGGGCGGGACUAUCAAUAUUGACUAGCCAAUGGCAGACAGUGCCACAGAAAUCAUGAACUGCAGCUUUAAGCAAUCAUCCUGCUUAUAUUUGCUCCCGGUCCUCAAAUGUUAGCUGUCCCCAGUGCAUUUAAAGUGACAAAAUCAAGGCGGUUAAAAGAUAAAGCUGGUCUCUGGCUCUCUGAUUAUUUGACAAAAGAAAGAAAUAAGUAGAGAGAGAAAAACGAGUGGAAAAGUGGCUCUGAACACCCACUUGUCAAAUGGUGAAUUAAUCAACCGCUUUAAAUAAUGAUGUUGCUUUCUUUUCCCUUUCUUUCGCCGUGGCCAACUCCUCUAAAGCACAGCAGAUUGUAAAUAGCUCUGGGAUGCUGGGGAGCAGACUAAUAUUUCAUAGGCUAUAUACUCCUGGCUUUAAUAGGAAGACAUGGGUGGAUGCAAUAAAGAUACAACACAUAGCAACAAUGAGGUCCAAAAGUCCAUUAGUCACUUUAAAAAAUUAUUCUUCAAAAUUUUACAUUUGAUUCAAAAUAACUUUUAACAUGUAAAACAGUUAACCCUGCAGUUUAUCUUGUUUCACAUGGCUCAUUAUUAUGAAUUGGCGUGAACGCAGCUUUAUUUACAUAUUGGCAAUAGUCUAUAUUGUCAGCGAUUGGACGAACACAGCAUGUGAUGUUAACAGCAUCGCGCACCCUCAUUUUGCAGAUGUAGGCUACUAAAGUGUUUUUUCCAUUGGACUACAAAGGUAAGAAUAAAACAGUCUCUUCUUAAAGAAAAUAAAAA